GAUGAACGCUGGCGGCGUGCUUAACACAUGCAAGUCGAACGGUGAAGGCGGAGCUUGCUCUGCUGGAUCAGUGGCGAACGGGUGAGUAACACGUGAGCAAUCUGCCCCUGACUCUGGGAUAAGCGCUGGAAACGGCGUCUAAUACUGGAUACGAGCUGCGAAGGCAUCUUCAGCAGCUGGAAAGAACUUCGGUCAGGGAUGAGCUCGCGGCCUAUCAGCUUGUUGGUGAGGUAGCGGCUCACCAAGGCGUCGACGGGUAGCCGGCCUGAGAGGGUGACCGGCCACACUGGGACUGAGACACGGCCCAGACUCCUACGGGAGGCAGCAGUGGGGAAUAUUGCACAAUGGGCGAAAGCCUGAUGCAGCAACGCCGCGUGAGGGACGACGGCCUUCGGGUUGUAAACCUCUUUUAGCAGGGAAGAAGCGAAAGUGACGGUACCUGCAGAAGAAGCGCCGGCUAACUACGUG
rnacentral:rRNA from 1 species